AUGCCCAGCCUAAUUCUUGAAAACUCUAUAAAAUGCAGAUCCCCAGGCCCUACACAUGGAAUCUGUUCUAUCUGUGAAACCAUCAUCAUAAUUAAGAUUAAGAGAAUUGGCCGGGCAUGCUGGGAUUACAGGCAUGCACAACCAUGCUUGGCUAAUUUUUUUUUUUUUUUUUUGUAUUUUUAGUAGAGACAGGGUUUUACCAUAUUGGCCAAGCUCGUCUCAAACUCCUGACCUUGUGAUCUGUCCACCUUGGCCUCCCAAAGUGCUGGGAUUAUAGGCGUGAGCCACCACACCCUGCCAAAAAUAUAUUUUUUAAAAAAUUACCUGGGCACAGUGGCAGAAGCCCGUAGUCCCAGCCACUUGGGAGCCUGGGGCAGGAGGAUUGCUUGAGCCUGGAAGGUUGACAGUCAGCUGUCAUUGCAUCACUGCACUCCAGGCUGGGAAACAGAGCGAGACUUUGUCUUAGAAAGGAGAAGAAAAAAAAAACAAAUAAAAUACCUACAUAGAGAAGUGGACAGAUCUGAGAUGUGACUGGUGAUUGAACUCUAAAAGGCUACAUGACUUCCACAGUGCACAAAUCGUCUUUCGUCACACUCGGUGGCUGGUAGACAGUGGAGGGUAGAUAGGUGACAGGGCUAAAGCAAAUGUGCCCGAAGAGAGCAGCAUGUGCUUAUUAUUUAGAAAUAUAAAAUGUGUAAGUGCUGGAAAGAAACCGCUCACAGAGCCAAAAGUGGUUGCUUCUAGGGAGGCGGCAUGGGGAGAUUGGGAGGCAGACAGGAAACCGCUGCGUGUUAUCUGCCUUUAGACAAAUUUAUUUUGCUUUCCCUGCACGUAUCCUACUUCAAUUCUAAGACACUGAAGUAUUCACACGUUAACGUCUUUAUUUAUUUUUGAGGUGGAGUCUCGGUCUGUUGCCCAGGUGCGAUCUCGGCUCACUGCAACCUCUGCCUCCUGGGUUCAAGCGAUUCUCCCUGCCUCAGCCUCCUGAGUAGCUGGGAUUACAGGCACCUGCCACACCCCCAGCUAAUUUUUGUAUUUUUAGUGGAGACGGGGUUUCACUAUAUAUUGGCCAGGCUGGUCUCAAACUCCUGACCUCAGGUGAUCCACCCGCCUUGGCCUCCCAAAGUACUGGGAUUAUAGGCGUGAGUCACCAUGCCCUGACCAUUUCAACAUCUUUAAAAUCAAGAUAAAUCUUUCUAUAAUUAAUGGUGUACCUGACCACUAUAAUUGGCAGUGUUUUCUCUGGACAGUUCAUGAGUCAUGGUGCAUCUUACUAUUGGCGAUGCCUUAGAUACACUGAUGUAUAUUAUUUUGAUAAAGUGGAAAUUGUUAUUAUUUAUUUAUUAUAACAGCUAAUUUUUGUAUUUUUAGUAGAGACGGGUUUCACCAUGUUGGCCAGGCUGGUCUCAAACUCCUGACCUCGUGAUCCACCCGCCUCAGCCUUCCAAAGUGCUGCGAUUACAGGGUGAGCCACUGUGCCCGGCUGGAAAUUAUUUUAAAGAAAAAAAAUGAAUUAAUUGGAAUAGCUGCUAUGUACUGAGCUCCUACUGUAAGUGUUCUAAGGACUGUAAAUGUUUACAUUUAGUAUUCGAUUAUUUGUUUAUUUAAUUUUUGCUUAUUUAAUUUUUUAAAAUUUCAUUUAAAAAUGAAAUAAAUUAAAAAAAAACAAAAUUUAAAAAAAAUUUUGUUUGCAGAGAUGAGGGCUUGCUAUGUUGCCCUGGCUGGUCUCGAACUCCUGGACUCAAGUGAUCCUCCCACCUCAGUCUCCUAAAGUGCUGGGAUUACAGUUGUGAGCCACCAUGUCUGGCUUUCACUUAGUAUUCUAAAUCACCUUGGAUUGUUAUUCAAAAGUUUGAGAUGAGGAAACGGUUAUCUUCCUUUAAGCCACCCAGCCAGUAACUGAUAGACAGUAGUCAAAAACAGGGGGCUGCCUGCCCCUGAGUCCACAGCGUCUGUUUUGACUAGAAUUUUGUUUUGUUUUAAUUGAGUCAGAGUCUCACUCUGUCUGGCCCAGGCUGGAGUAUAGUGGUGUGAUCUCCAUUCACUGCAGCAGCCUUGGGCUCCUGGGUUCAAGUGAUUCUCCUGUCUCAGCCUCCCUAGUAGCUGGGAUUACAGGCAUGCAUCACCACAUCCGGCUAAUUUUGUAUACUUAGUAGAGAUGGGUUUCACCAUGUUGGCCAGGCUGGUCUUGAACUCCUGACCUCGUGAUCCGCCUGCCUCAGCCUCCU
rnacentral:lncRNA from 1 species